AGAGUUUGAUCUGGCUCAGGAUGAACGCUGGCGGUAUGCUUAACACAUGCAAGUCGAACGGUGUCUUCGGACACAGUGGCGGACGGGUGAGUAACGCGUGAGAAUCUGGCUUCAGGUCUGGGACAACCACUGGAAACGGUGGCUAAUACCGGAUGUGCCGAGAGGUGAAAGGUUAACUGCCUGAAGAUGAGCUCGCGUCUGAUUAGCUAGUAGGUGUGGUAAAGGCGCACCUAGGCGACGAUCAGUAGCUGGUCUGAGAGGACGAUCAGCCACACUGGGACUGAGACACGGCCCAGACUCCUACGGGAGGCAGCAGUGGGGAAUUUUCCGCAAUGGGCGAAAGCCUGACGGAGCAAUACCGCGUGAGGGAGGAAGGCUCUUGGGUCGUAAACCUCUUUUCUCAGGGAAGAACACAAUGACGGUACCUGAGGAAUAAGCAUCGGCUAACUCCGUGCCAGCAGCCGCGGUAAUACGGAGGAUGCAAGCGUUAUCCGGAAUGAUUGGCGUAAAGCGUCCGCAGGUGGCGAUGUAAGUCUGCUGUUAAAGAGUGAGGCUCAACCUCAUAAGAGCAGUGGAAACUACAUAGCUAGAGUAGUUCGGGGCAGAGGGAAUUCCUGGUGUAGCGGUGAAAUGCGUAGAGAUCAGGAAGAACACCAGUGGCGAAGGCGCUCUGCUAGGCCGUAACUGACACUGAGGGACGAAAGCUAGGGGAGCGAAUGGGAUUAGAUACCCUAGUAGUCC
rnacentral:rRNA from 1 species